AUGAACGCUGGCGGCGUGCCUAAUACAUGCAAGUCGAGCGAACAGACGAGGAGCUUGCUCCUCUGACGUUAGCGGCGGAUGGGUGAGUAACACGUGGAUAACCUACCUAUAAGACUGGGAUAACUUCGGGAAACCGGAGCUAAUACCGGAUAAUAUAUUGAACCGCAUGGUUCAAUAGUGAAAGACGGUUUUGCUGUCACUUAUAGAUGGAUCCGCGCCGCAUUAGCUAGUUGGUAAGGUAACGGCUUACCAAGGCGACGAUGCGUAGCCGACCUGAGAGGGUGAUCGGCCACACUGGAACUGAGACACGGUCCAGACUCCUACGGGAGGCAGCAGUAGGGAAUCUUCCGCAAUGGGCGAAAGCCUGACGGAGCAACGCCGCGUGAGUGAUGAAGGUCUUCGGAUCGUAAAACUCUGUUAUUAGGGAAGAACAAAUGUGUAAGUAACUAUGCACGUCUUGACGGUACCUAAUCAGAAAGCCACGGCUAACUACGU
rnacentral:rRNA from 1 species